rnacentral:lncRNA from 9 species
AUGAUGAUCUUGGGGCCCAGCUGCUUGUGGAUGGCGAAGAUGUGGAUGAGCCGGAGCGCGAACACCAUGAAGUCCACGGCCAGGAUGGUGCGGCCGGCCUCGAACCCCGACGGCAGCACCCUGCGGGGAGCGCGGGCUGCACGGCGGCCGGGCCAAGCGGGGCGUCCGGGGGGGCCCGCGGGGAUGCAUGCCGCAGCAGCCCUGCCCGCCGGCCGCCCGGGCCGCCCCCGCCCGGCCUCCGGGCCCCACGGACCUGCAGGUGACGCCCGCGAUGAAGAGGAAGAUGGCCCCCAUGUCGCACUUGUUCCAGUUGUCCUCCACGUACAGCAUGACCUUCUUCACCAGCACCAGCGUGAACACCCAGAAGUAGAGCGUGACCUCGGGCCCCGACGGCCCCUGCGGGGGCGGCCGGAAGUCCACCAGCAGCACGUAGGAGAAGAGGAAGAGGAAGGCGAAGUACAUGAGCACGUUGCCCAGGAACACGGUCACGGGCGCGCCCCAGAACUUCCGCCAGCGCGUGAGCAGGAAGGCCGCGUGCGGGCCCCGGCUGCCCCGAGUCCUCGGCGCCACGGCCCGCGCCUCUGCCCUGCGCCACAAAGGAGGCCCCGCGGGCGCUGAGACGGGCGUCCGGGGCCCACCGGAGCCCAGCUCCCCGACGGCCCAGCCUCCCCGGGGCCUCACCGGCUGCCCGGGCUGCACAGCAGGCUCUUCUCCGUGUCCAGACUGUCCAGCUCCUGCAGGUCCUCCAGGCCUGUCCGCAGAGGGGCCUCCUCCCUGGGAGCGCAGGCGACCCUCAGGAAUGUGGAAGGGCCCCCCUGGGCACCCAGGCAGCAGAGAAAGUGCUGGAUGCACGGAGAAGGGGGACAGGCAGGGCCACGAAGGCGGGCGGGGGGGGGCAAGCUGCCGUCAGUGCCAGCAAAGCCCAGGGACCACCCGCCUCGCCCUGCCCCGACGGACCUGAAGGUGAUGAGGUUGGUGUAGAUGAGGGCCGGACAGAGGAAGGCGGCCAGCAGCCGCAGGACAGGGGUGCCCGAGGCCAUGUCGCCCCACCAGAUCCGGGUGAGGAAGGCCUGGGGUAAAGGCACGGCUGCUGACCCCACUGUGCCCACACCAGGCAUGCCCUUCAAGGGUCAGCUGAAGCUCCUAGCCUCCCAGGAAUGGAACCUCCCUCCACCGCACCCCUUCCCGAGUGGCCAGGGUGCAGGCCGGGGGCGAGGGGCAAGGGAGGUCAGCUGGGGCGCCCCCUGUCUGCCCGCUGCCUGGUCCCCAGCAGCCCUCCCAAGGCCUCGCUCACCUGCACCCCAUCGUGGGCAAAGAAGGCCUUGGCAUCGGCCUCGGUGGCCAGGUGCAGACAGGUGGUCCUGCUCCAGGAGCGGUUCCGGCGCACCAGCAGAGCAAAGGCGCGCUCCUCGCUGUUGCCGUAGCACUCGGAGAACAGGUCUGCCGAGGGCGCGGCCACUGCCACGGACGCCCAGGCCCGGCCCCCGCCCGCCCUCCUCCUCUGCCCC